rnacentral:tRNA from 1 species
UAGCUCAGUCGGUAGAGCGCAAGGCUCUUAAUCUUGUGGUCCUGGGUUUAAGUCCCAG